GUGCUCACUUCGGAAGCACAUAUACUAAAAUUGGAACGAUACAGAGAUUAUCAUGGCCCCUGUGCAAGGGUGACGCACAAAUUCGUGAAGCAUUCAGUAUUUUU